rnacentral:rRNA from 1 species
CUACUCUUGACAUCCACGGAAUUUGGCAGAGAUGCCUUAGUGCCUUCGGGAACCGUGAGACAGGUGCUGCAUGGCUGUCGUCAGCUCGUGUUGUGAAAUGUUGGGUUAAGUCCCGCAACGAGCGCAACCCUUAUCCUUUGUUGCCAGCGAUUCGGUCGGGAACUCAAAGGAGACUGCCGGUGAUAAACCGGAGGAAGGUGGGAUGACGUCAAGUCAUCAUGGCCCUUAUGUCCAGGGCUACACGCGUACUACAAUGGCCGAUACAGAGGGUUGCCAAGUCGCGAGACGGAGCUAAUCCCAGAAAGUCGGUCGUAGUCCGGAUCGGAGUCUGCAACUCGACUCCGUGAAGUCGGAAUCGCUAGUAAUCGCGAAUCAGCGCUUGUCGCGGUGAAUACGUUCCC